AUGUCUCACGGGAAGUUCUCAGCUCCUAGGCAUGGGUCCAUGGGUUUCUUGCCUUGCAAACACAGAAGUUGGCAUUGUGGGAAAAUGAAGAGCUUCCUGAAGGAUGACCCUUCCAAGCCUGUUCAACUCACAGCCUGUCUAGGGUACAAGGCUGGUAUGACUCACAUCAUCUGGGAAGUUGACAGGCCAGGAUCUAAGGUAAACAAGAAAGAAGUUGUGGAGGCUGUGGACAUUGUGAACUACCCAUGGUGGUUGUGGGCAUUGUGGGAUAUGUUGAAACCCCAGGAGGCCUUUGGACCUUCAAGACUGUAUUUUCUGAGCAUAUCAGUGUUAAGUGUAAAAGGCAGUUCUAUAAGAACUGGCACAAAUCUAAGAAGGCUUUCACCAAGUACUGUAAGAAAUGGCAGGAUGACACAGGCAAGGAACAGCUGGAUAAGAACUUCAACAGCAUGAAGAAGUACUGCCAGGUCAUUUGCAUAAUUGCCCACACUCAGAUGUGUCUGCUUCCUCUGCACCAUUUGGUGGAGAAGGCACAUUUGGUGGAGAUCCAGGUGAAUGGAGGCACUGUGCCUGAGAAGCUAGAUUGGGCUCAAGAGAGGCAGGAGCAGCAGGUUUCUGUGAACCAGAUGUUUGGGCAGGAUGAGAUGAUUGAUGUCAUUGUCAUGAAAAAAGGCAAAGAGUACAAAGGGGUAACCGGUCACUGACAUACAAGGAAACUGCUGUGAAAGACCCCUCAGGGUCUGCACAAAGUUGCCCGCAUUGGAGCUUGGCACCCUGCCUGUAGCCUUCUCUGUCUCUUGAGCUGGGCUGAAAGGCUACCUUCACUGAACAGAGUUUAACAAGAAGAUUUGCAAGAUAGGUCAAGGCUACCUCAUCAAGGAUGGUAAACUGAUCAAGAACAAUGCAUCUACUUCUAUGACCUGUCUGACAAGAGCAUCAACACACUGGGUGGCUUUGUCCAUUAUGGUGAAAUGACUUCAUCAUGCUCAAAGGCUGUGUUGUGGAAACCAAAAAGCAAGUACUUACUCAUUGUAAGUCCUUGCUGGUCCAGACGAAACAUCAGGCUCUGGAGAAGAUUGACAUGAAGUUCAUUGACACCACCUCCAAGUUUGGCUAUGGUCAUUUCCAGACCAUGGAGGAGAAGAAAGAAUUAAUAGGACCACUCAAGAAAGAUCACAUUGCCAAGGAGGAAGGUGAUUCUAGGAUCACUUUGUGCAGCUUGUGGGGUCUCAUCAAUAAAAUAUUUCCAGUUUAA